rnacentral:rRNA from 1 species
UACGUAGGUGGCGAGCGUUGUCCGGAUUUACUGGGCGUAAAGAGCGUGUAGGCGGCCCGAUAAGUCCGCUGUGAAAGUCCAGGACUCAACCCUGGAAUGCCAGUGGAAACUGUCGGGCUAGAGUCCGGAAGAGGCGAGUGGAAUUCCUGGUGUAGCGGUGAAAUGCGCAGAUAUCAGGAGGAACACCAAUGGCGAAGGCAGCUCGCUGGGACGGUACUGACGCUGAGACGCGAAAGCGUGGGGAGCAAACAGG